rnacentral:rRNA from 1 species
GAGUUUGAUCGUGGCUCAGAUUGAACGCUGGCGGCAUGCCUUACACAUGCAAGUCGAACGGCAGCACGGGAGCUUGCUCCUGGUGGCGAGUGGCGAACGGGUGAGUAAUGCAUCGGAACGUAUCCUGGAGUGGGGGAUAACGUAGCGAAAGUUACGCUAAUACCGCAUAUUCUGUGAGCAGGAAAGCGGGGGACCUUCGGGCCUCGCGCUCUUGGAGCGGCCGAUGUCGGAUUAGCUAGUUGGUGAGGUAAAGGCUCACCAAGGCGACGAUCCGUAGCAGGUCUGAGAGGAUGAUCUGCCACACUGGAACUGAGACACGGUCCAGACUCCUACGGGAGGCGAGCAGUGGGAAUUUUGGACAAUGGGGGCAACCCUGAUCCAGCCAUG